rnacentral:rRNA from 1 species
GAUGAACGCUGGCGGCGUGCCUAAUACAUGCAAGUCGAGCGAACGGACGAGAAGCUUGCUUCUCUGAGGUUAGCGGCGGACGGGUGAGUAACACGUGGAUAACCUACCUAUAAGAGUGGGAUAACUUCGGGAAACCGGAGCUAAUACCGGAUAAUAUCUUUAACCACAUGGUUCAAGAUUGAAAGACGGUCUUGCUGUCACUUAUAGAUGUAUCCGCGCUUCAUUAGCUAGUUGGUAAGUUAACGGCUUACCAAGCCAACGAUGCAUAGCCGACCGGAGAGGGUGAUCGGCAACACUGGAACUGAGACACGGUCAAGACUCCUACGGGAGGAAGCAGUAGGGAAUCUUCCGAAAUGGGCGAAAGCCUGACGGAGCAACGCCGCGUGAGUGAUGAAGGUCUUCGGAUCGUAAAACUCUGUUAUUAGGGAAGAACAUAUGUGUAAGUAACUGUGCACAUCUUGACGGUACCUAAUCAGAAAGCCACGGCUAACUACGUG